UCUCUGUACUUUUUUUUGGGGGGAUAAGUUUUUGAACAUACUAGAAUUUAUUUAGUACUCUAUUUUUAAUUUAGAACCUCCAGCUUGUUGUUAAGACAAUCAGUCUUCUAAGAAAAAUUUAACUUUUCCCUAUAAAAAUAGACCAUUCUAUUUCAGCUUAUUCAUUUCUAAAAGAUAAGAAAACAGAGACCCAGAAAAAAUUGCAUGUAGAAGAGAAGACAAUUAAUGAGAGAAACUUGGGAUUAGAAGGCAUAUAUAUGACUCCAGACUGUAAUAUACUGUUGAACUGGAAACAUAAAGAAUUAAGAUUUGGAAACUAAACCAAAAAAGCCCAACAUGAUUUAUUCAAGAGCAUUACAGUUAGGUGAAAAUAACAUGAGCAAAGUCCCAGAAGCAGAGUAUUACAGAACUAAAUAUGCCUAAAUAUAUCCCAAAAUAUAUGGCAAAGAAUCAUGCAGUGUUUCUGGUUUGUCAUUUAUUUAUAAUUAUCUUCCACUUUCCUCCAUUAUAGUAGAUAGUUAGGUGAUCAAAGAUAACAGAUUGUAGUUCAGAAGAGAAUCUUUCCAAAUCAAGCCUGUCUUUGAUAAUUAUGUGUGUUAAUUAGAUAAAAUGUAGAUGGUUCUUGUCCACAUAAACAAGCUAAUGUUUUCACUAGUGUUUGAGAGCCAUGUGAUAUUAUAAAUAUACCCCUGAAUCAGAAGCUAGACAAAUAGAUUUGAGUCUCAGAACUGACAUUCAGUAACUGUGUAAUAGUAGGAAAGUUGUCUUACCCAUAUGAAUCAAAAUUUAUCACUAAAAUAAGAAUAAAUACACUAAUUCUGUCACUGACUAUGGGGAAUUCCUCCUAUCUUAAAAAUAUUAUUCUAAUAUAAAAUAACUUUUUAUUUCCUUAGAAAAGCUUUGAUUUCAUUCUUGUAUUGAACUUCUUGUAGGGAGUACUAUUUGCCAUUACAUAUUACACUGUCUUUGAAAUAUGUUUCAGAGCAGCAGUUUAUUACCUGUUUUUUAGACAUGCCCCCAUUUGGCAGACUGGCAAAAACUAUGAACUUUUUUUAUGGUAAGUAAUUAAAUAUAUCAAAUAAAAUAUAUAACAU